ensembl:processed_transcript
ACACACACACACACUCGCACAGAUACAUUCACUGGAGCGCCGACUCUCUGCUGAGCUCCAUUCUUUAAAAGGCUCUACAGCUUGAGAGCUUCAUCCUGCUCUCGGAAAUCACUUGUCCUGGAAAAGAGUCCAGGAUUGCAAAAAAAGGCUCUGGUUUUUAAGGAGUGUUUUACAAGUUGGAGGCAUCCAGAGUCUGACGGGAUAGGACUGAGCCACUGUGUUUCACAAAAACUAUUCCGCUAACCUUUCAGCUGUAAGAAGCUCACUUCAGGAUCUGCCCCAUCCUGGUGGGUCACUCAGCCGGACUGAUGUGGAAUGCGACCCUUUAUGACCCCAUCCCACGGGCCUCUAUUCAAUGAGCCGGACUCGGGAGAGCACAGAUAAUAGAAGCAAGAGGCUGCCCCACAAAAAAGAGUGAAGUAACAGCAGCAGGAGUGUUCGGACUGGUAAGAAAGUUAAAGGGGCCCUUAAAGGUGGGGAAAAAGAGCUUAAAACACAAAAGAGCAGGAAUAAAGAGACCUGUGAAAACAAAAGUCUUUCUUGGGACUGCAAGGCUUUCAUAAAAGCAAGAAAAACUUUGACCCUUAGCCUUCAUUUCACCUCUUAAAUUAAUCCCACUGCUACCCAUCAUGCCAGUGGAGACCCUUCGUCCCACAGAUGGACGUCUGACGGGGGGUCCCUUCACCUCUGCCAUGCCUUUCCGUAUCCUCAACAAAGGCCCGGGCUACUUUCGCAGACUACCAGAGACAGGAACUCGGAAGCUUAGUGCAGUUGAGCGCCUGGAAGCAGACAAGGC